UGAGGAAUAUUGCGCAAUGGGGGCAACCCUGACGCAGCAACGCCGCGUGAGUGAGGAAGGUUUUCGGACCGGAAAGCUCUGUCGAGCGGGAAGAAAUGUAUCGUGGCUAAUAUCCAUGAUAUUUGACGGUACCGCUAAAGGAAGCACCGGCUAACUCCGUGCCAGCAGCCGCGGUAAUACGGGGGGGUGCAAGCGUUGUUCGGAAUUAUUGGGCGUAAAGAGCGUGUAGGCGGCUGAAUAAGUCAGAUGUGAAAUCCCUGGGCUUAAACCAGGAAGUGCAUUUGAAACUAUUCAGCUUGAGUAGGGGAGAGGAAAGUGGAAUUCCUGGUGUAGAGGUGAAAUUCGUAGAUAUCAGGAGGAACACCGGUGGCGAAGGCGACUUCCUGGCCCUAUACUGAGGCUGAGACGCGAGAGCGUGGGUAGCAAACA
rnacentral:rRNA from 1 species